rnacentral:rRNA from 1 species
AUGGUUACUGAAGAAACCAAAUCAAAGAAGCAAAGAAAUGGGGAAUGCAUCAUAAACCGCCUACCGGUAGACCUCAUUGAGCGGAUAUUUUUGGGGCUUCCAGUGAGCACUCUGUUGACGUGUGUCGGAGUCUGCAAGCACUGGCACAACAUCAUCCGGGAUCCACAGUUUGUUGCAUUGCACCUCCAGUGUGCGCCAAGUUAUGCCCUUCUGUUCUCCCUGCGAGGUUUGGUUUCAGGCGAGCCCUACCCUAGUGAUGCUGUCCUAAUUGAUGAAGCCUGGUCGUCAUCGAGAUAUGCAGUGCCAGUGAUUGGGCCUGAUGAUUUCCUUUUCGGUUCAUGCAAUGGCCUUCUUGGCUUAUACACAAAGACAUCAAUGAUUAAGAUAGCUAACCUUGCAACUGGUGAAUGUCUACAUCUUCAGAAACCUGCGAAGAAUGUGAAAGGUGACCACUUCUGUUUCUACAGCUUUGGAUUUCAUCCGGUGACAAAAGAAUACAAGAUUACACACUUCCUUGGUGAUUGCAUUAAUGGUCGCCGCCCCCACAAUAAAGACAGGUUCAACAUCAUCCAAGUUUACACGCUCGGCGAUGAGAAAUGGAAAGAUUUCCGAACUCCAAAAGCUCUUAGCUUGAUCAGUGUGAGAAACUCUGGAGUUGUCAAUGUUGAUGGCAAAAUGUAUUGGUUAACUGAAGACAUGUCAGCUAACUGUCAGCAUUCAGUUAUGUCCUUUGAUCUAUUGGAAGAAAGUUUUGCAAUGACACAACUGCCUGCAGCAUAUGAAGAUCAUGAUUAUUAUGGUCCUCGUAAGUUCUGGAUCAGAGAUAUAGAUGGGAAGAUAUGCAUAGUAACUGCUCAAACCAGUCACUAUGAUGCCAGAACUGUUCUUGGUGAGCUGCAGAUCUGGACACUUGACAACACGGCAGAGCAACAAAGGUGGAGCCGGAAGUACAACAUUAAGAACCCACCUAAUUACAUUCUGGGUCCACAUUUUGUUCACAGGGAUAGGAUCCUCACACAACUUGGCAGCGAUGAUGUAUGUUCGUAUGAGUUGCUUAGUGAGAACUUCAAGAUUGAUUUGAGCAAGAUGGUGAAGCUGUUAGAUUUCAGUCCCCACGGGCAGAACUUGCAAUCUCACAACUGCGUGAAAUCACUUGUACGUUUAGAAGUAUUCAGUAAGGCUGGCAUCGUGCGCAGACCAAAACAGUGGGAUGGGUGGGAACUGAAAAAGUGGGAAGCUUGGGAGCAGAAUCUUGCCAAGAAGGAAACAAUGUGGUCCAGACUUUAUGAAGAUGAGCAUAAGAAAACUGCAUCCACACAAUCUUUGCACGCUCGACUUAAUCAUCUACUGCCUCAAAUCUUGGAUGAUGUGAUGCGACAGCAGAUAUGCAUGAAAAACAAUCAAAUAUGUGCAGCCUUUGCAGAUCAGCAACCAAGGUCCCUCCGGCGGCUUAACUGGGUGGAGCAAAAGCGGGAUGAGGAAACAUUAUUUGCUCGUGUGGAAAAGUUUAUAGAUAUUACCAUGGCUGCUACUCAGGCGAUUGAAAGCGUCCAUGAUAUGAUCGGAAGAGUUACACAGGAUCUUGAUAAGCGUACUUCAACUUCGAAAGCUGGCAUUGCUUCACAGAAUCACAGUGGCGACGGCGAUGGUGAUACGGACUUGGGACUUUAG